CUGCCGGCGACCGGCGCACGGGUGAGUAACACGUAUGGAACCUGCCCGUAGCAGGGGGAUAAGCGGAAGAAAUUCCGUCUAAUACCGCGUAACAACGUUGGGAGGCAUCUCCCGAUGUUUAAAGAUUUAUCGGCUGCGGAUGGCCAUGCGGCGCAUUAGCUAGUCGGCGGGGUAACGGCCCACCGAGGCGACGAUGCGUAGGGGUUCUGAGAGGAAGGUCCCCCACACUGGUACUGAGACACGGACCAGACUCCUACGGAAGGCAGCAG
rnacentral:rRNA from 1 species